GUCCCCGCACCCUUACUGGAUCCCGUAGCCUGUUUGUUGCCCACAUUAUGGUCCAUGGCAUCUCACAUUGCAGGGUACGGCAGUGCCCUACAUCAUAAGGAUCAGUUUAAUAUGUGGCUUAACGUAACCCGUCUGCACCGUCUGAAUAGUCCCUUAGGGGCCGCCAAGAAGAAAUCAGCGCAGCCUCAAGCACACUGCAGACCUGCUGGGACUUGUGGUUCUCCUGUGAGUUUCGGCAGCUGUUGGGGUGCAGCGCCCUGAAGACUUCCCGCUCGGCGGCUGCAGUCCUUCAGAUCACCCUGAUUGUGUCCAUUGAAGUGCAAGGCUUAUUGCAACCCUACUGCGCUGUAACAAACCCAUCCGCUCUGUCAGUUGGACUGCAUGCUGUCAGUGAACGAGGCUGUCAUUGUUUUACACUCAAGGACUGAACCAGACGUAAUGACGUCAUCACCUUCCAACCACAUGGUAUAUAGGAUGUCACCUGACCUCUGACCACCUCGUUGCACAUCUGACGGCAGGUGAGGGUAACAAUUGCACCAUGAUUUCUGCGCCGUAUUUCUCGGGGGUCUUGUGAGACGGACACAUGAGCCUUAGGCUGGUGCUGGUUCCUUCCGUCUGGAUCCCUCCCAGCUCCCUGACUUUAUCCCGUUAUCUCUGUUCGGCUUCUCGGAGCUGAUGUCACAUCUGACGGGAAGCGUAAUGCCGAAGUAAGACCCCACCAGGAAAUCCUCCUGACGCCAGGCCAGGUGAAAGGGCAUGAGAAGCUGUCAGCGGCAAGACGAGUGCAAUAAGACAUCUGGGGCACAUUCAGACUGGCAGAAUUGUCUCCGUGUGUGGACUCUGAACCGGAAAUCUGCCACCGUGUCCGGUACAAUGCGAGGAAAUGGAGUCGUUCAAACCUGACGGAGAAAAACCAUGCAGAACAUCCGGUCAAGUUUGCUGCAGAUUUCAGCCUUUGCAGUCGGACUAAAAUCCUGCAUCGGAGUGGAAGAAAUCCGUAAGUCCUGUCACGGAUCCUCGGACAAGCCCAGAACAACAGCAGCACUUACAGGGACGGGGAUCCAGAUAAAACAUCAGCUUUACUACAGUAUCCACAUAGUCUAUGAUAAGACCACUGUACGGGCGAAACGCGUCCAGACCGCGCCGAUGAUGUGCGGUUCUUAAUGUGAAUACAGCCGAUGGUUUAUCCAGUCCGCUGGAUCCGUCCCUGUGAUUGCUACUUUUACACCUUAUUGAUGCAGACUUCAGUCCAGUUCAUGUAAAUGUGUGUUUCCUCAUCAUUUAUAAGAUAUCUGCUUGCUGUCCUUGAAUAAGAAUAUUGGGAGUCAUUUACAACAGCCAACAAUUUACUCUGGUGUUUGUUUCCCCCUGCGCUGGCGGAGAAAGUGUCCGGCCUCCCUAAAUUAGGCGCACAGCGAUCAGUCCACUCCUGAAGUAAAAACUACUCUGGGCACUGACUGACGGCCCCCGAUUGAG